GCUAGCUAGCUACAGUACAUUAGGGUCAGGGUUAGGCUAGCUAGCUACAGUACAUUAGGGUUAGGCUAGCUAGCUACAGUACAUUAGGGUUAGGGCUAGCUAGCUACAGUACAUUAGGGUUAGGCUAGCAAGCUACAGUACAUUAGGGUUAGGCUAGCUACAGUACAUUAGGGUUAGCUAGCUACAGUACAUUAGGGUCAGGGUUAGGCUAGCUACCUAUAGUACAUUAGGGUUAGGGCUAGCUAGCUACAGUACAUUAGGGUUAGGCUAGCUACAGUACAUUAGGGUUAGCUAGCUACAGUACAUUAGGGUUAGGCUAGCUACAGUACAUUAGGGUUAGGCUAGCUAGCUACAGUACAUUAGGGUUAGGCUAGCUAGCUACAGUACAUUAGGGUUAGGGCUAGCUAGCUACAGUACAUUAGGGUUAGGGCUAGCUAGCUACAGUACAUUAGGGUUAGGGCUAGCUAGCUACAGUACAUUAGGGUUAGGCUAGCUAGCUACAGUACAUUAGGGUCAGGGUUAGGCUAGCUAGCUACAGUACAUUAGGGUUAGGGCUAGCUAGCUACAGUACAUUAGGGUUAGGGCUAGCUAGCUACAGUACAUUAGGGUUAGGGCUAGCUAGCUACAGUACAUUAGGGUUAGGCUAGCUACAGUACAUUAGGGUUAGCUAGCUACAGUACAUUAGGGUCAGGGUUAGGCUAGCUAGCUACAGUACAUUAGGGCUAGCUAGCUACAGUACAUUAGGGUCAGGGUUAGGCUAGCUAGCUACAGUACAUUAGGGUUAGGCUAGCUAGCUACAGUACAUUAGGGUCAGGGUUAGCUAGCUACAGUACAUUAGGGUUAGGGUUAGCUAGCUACAGUACAUUAGGGUUAGCUAGCUACAGUACAUUAGGGUUAGGGCUAGCUAGCUACAGUACAUUAGGGUUAGGGCUAGCUAGCUACAGUACAUUAGGGUUAGGGCUAGCUAGCUACAGUUCAUUAGGGUUAGCUAGCUACAGUACAUUAGGGCUAGCUAGCUACAGUACAUUAGGGUCAGGGUUAGCUAGCUACAGUACAUUAGGGUUAGGGCUAGCUAGCUACAGAACAUUAGGGUUAGGGUUAGCUAGCUACAGUACAUUAGGGUUAGCUAGCUACAGUACAUUAGGGUUAGGGCUAGCUAGCUACAGUACAUUAGGGUUAGGGCUAGCUAGCUACAGUACAUUAGAGAAGCUCACCAUUCAUUGUAUUCACGGCGGCAUUUUCUGAGCUUAACUGACCAAGACGCACCUCCAAAUGCCCGAAACCAGUGACAGUUUCUUUCAACCAGUGGCACAUUGGCUUUUUAGGUGAGCGUUGAUACCGCUUUGUGAUAAUAAUGUCCACUCCUCUCCAGAGUAUUGUUCUAGACGUAACGCUGCCGCGCUCCUCUCGAGAGUAUUGUUCUAGACGUAACGCUGCCGUGCUCCUCUCCAGAGUAUUGUUCUAGACGUAACGCUGCAGCGCUCCUCUCCAGAGUAUUGUUCUAGACGUAUCGCUGCCGCGCUCCUCUCCAGAGUAUUGUUCUAGACGUAACGCUGCAGCGCUCCUCUCCAGAGUAUUGUUCUAGACGUAACGCUGCCGCGCUCCUCUCCAGAGUAUUGUUGGAGGCGUAACGCUGCCGCGCUCCUCUCCAGAGUAUUGUUCUAGACGUAACGCCGCCGCGCUCCUCUCCAGAGUAUUGUUGGAGGCGUAACGCUGCAGCGCUCCUCUCCAGAGUAUUGUUGGAGGCGUAACGCUGCCGCGCUCCUCUCCAGAGUAUUGUUCUAGACGUAACGCUGCCGCGCUCCUCUCCAGAGUAUUGUUGGAGGCGUAACGCUGCCGCGCUCCUCUCCAGAGUAUUGUUGGAGGCGUAACGCUGCAGCGCUCCUCUCCAGAGUAUUGUUCUAGACGUAACGCUGCAGCGCUCCUCUCCAGAGUAUUGUUGGAGACGUAACGCUGCCGCGCUCCUCUCCAGAGUAUUGUUCUAGACGUAACGCUGCCGCGCUCCUCUCCAGAGUAUUGUUCUAGACGUAACGCUGCCGCGCUCCUCUCCAGAGUAUUGUUGGAGGCGUAACGCUGCCGCGCUCCUCUCCAGAGUAUUGUUCUAGACGUAAAGCUGCUGCGCUCCUCUCCAGAGUAUUGUUCUAGAUGUAACGCUGCAGCGCUCCUCUCCAGAGUAUUGUUGGAGACGUAACGCUGCCGCGCUCCUCUCCAGAGUAUUGUUGGAGACGUAACGCUGCAGCGCUCCUCUCCAGAGUAUUGUUGGAGGCGUAACGCUGCCGCGCUCCUCUCCAGAGUAUUGUUGGAGGCGUAACGCCGCCGCGCUCCUCUCCAGAGUAUUGUUCUAGACUUAACGCUGCCGCGCUCCUCUCCAGAGUAUUGUUGGAGACGUAACGCUGCCGCGCUCCUCUCCAGAGUAUUGUUGGAGGCGUAACGCCGCCGCGCUCCUCUCCAGAGUAUUGUUCUAGACGUAACGCUGCCGCGCUCCUCUCCAGAGUAUUGUUCUAGACGUAACCCCGCCGCGCUCCUCUCCAGAGUAUUGUUGGAGGCGUAACGCUGCCGCGCUCCUCUCCAGAGUAUUGUAGGAGGCGUAACGCUGCCGCGCUCCUCUCCAGAGUAUUGUUGGAGACGUAACGCUGCAGCGCUCCUCUCCAGAGUAUUGUUCUAGACGUAACGCCGCCGCGCUCCUCUCCAGAGUAUUGUUCUAGGCGUAACGCUGCUGCGCUCCUCUCCAGAGUAUUGUUGGAGGCGUAACGCUGCCGCGCUCCUCUCCAGAGUAUUGUUCUAGACGUAACGCUGCAGCGCUCCUCUCCAGAGUAUUGUUCUAGACGUAACGCUGCCGCGCUCCUCUCCAGAGUAUUGUUGGAGGCGUAACGCUGCCGCGCUCCUCUCCAGAGUAUUGUAGGAGGCGUAACGCUGCUGCGCUCCUCUCCAGAGUAUUGUUGGAGACGUAACGCUGCCGCGAUCCUCUCCAGAGUAUUGUUCUAGACGUAACGCUGCCGCGCUCCUCUCCAGAGUAUUGUUCUAGACGUAACGCUGCCGCGCUCCUCUCCAGAGUAUUGUUGGAGGCGUAACGCUGCAGCGCUCCUCUCCAGAGUAUUGUUCUAGACGUAACGCUGCCGCGCUCCUCUCCAGAGUAUUGUUGGAGGCGUAACGCUGCCGCGCUCCUCUCCAGAGUAUUAUAGGAGGCGUAACGCUGCUGCACUACUCUCCAGAGUAUUGUUGGAGGCGUAACGCUGCCGCGCUCCUCUCCAGAGUAUUGUUCUAGACGUAACGCUGCCGCGCUCCUCUCCAGAGUAUUGUUGGAGGCGUAACGCUGCCGCGCUCCUCUCCAGAGUAUUGUUCUAGACGUAACGCUGCCGCGCUCCUCUCCAGAGUAUUGUUGGAGGCGUAACGCUGCAGCGCUCCUCUCCAGAGUAUUGUUCUAGACGUAACGCUGCCGCGCUCCUCUCCAGAGUAUUGUUGGAGGCGUAACGCCUCACCUCAUUGUAGACAAUCACAACUGUUGUCUUGGAGUUUCACCUCAUUGAUCAGUGGUUUCAGUUUGUAUCCUUCAAUUUGACAAGCUGAUCAUGGCGAAAUGGAAAAUACUAUUUCCCGCUGUGUAAACAUUACAAAUCGGCUGAAGAGCUCCUGAUAAAGUUGGGUAGCUGAUAUUCAGAGCUUAAAUAGCCAAGUUGAUUAGUCCUGUUUUCCAAAUGGUGGCCUACCACAUGGAUGGGCGUUCAUAAAGUUCCAUUGAGGCCGACAUGGUAGGCUGCACCCCAGUAAGCACGAGGGAAAGUCUUUUAUUGGUCCUGGCCAGACCUCGUUGUUGUUGUUGGUGUUUUACAGGUGGUAGGCUUAGCACAGAUAGGCAUUCAUACAAUUACAUUUAGGCUACGCUAUAGGCUACGCUAUAUAGGCUCCACUAUAGGCUCCGCUAUAGGCUACGCUAUAGGCUACAAUAUAGGCUACGCUAUAGGCUACGCUAUAGGCUCCGCUAUAGGCAACACUAUAGGCUACGCUAUAGGCAACGCUAUAGGCUACGCUAUAGGCUACGCUAUAGGCAACGCUAUAGGCUAUGCUAUAGGCAACGCUAUCGUCUACGCUAUAGGCUACGCUAUAGGCUACACUAUAGGCUACGCUAUAGGCUACGCUAUAGGCUACGCUGUAGGCAACGCUAUAGGCUACGCUAUAGGCUACGCUAUAGGCUACGCUAUAUAGGCUACGCUAUAGGCUACGCUAUAGGCAACGCUAUAGGCUACGCUAUAGGCUACGCUAUAGGCUACGCUAUAGGCUCCACUAUAGGCUACGCUAUAGGCUACGCUAUAGGCUCCGCUAUAGGCUACGCUGUAGGCAACGCUAUAGGCUACGCUAUAUAGGCUACGCUGUAGGCAACGCUAUAGGCUACAAUAUAGGCUACGCUAUAGGCUACGCUAUAGGCAUUUUUUUACAUUUUACAUUUUAGUCAUUUAGCAGACGCUCUUAUCCAGAGCGACUUACAAAUUGGUGCAUUCACCUAUAAUAUCCAGUGGAACAACCACUUUACAAUAGUGCAUCUAAAUCUUUAUAGGCUACGCUAUAGGCUCCGCUAUAGGCUACGCUAUAGGCUACGCUAUAGGCUCCGCUAUAGGCAACGCUAUAGGCUACGCUAUAGGCAACGCUAUAGGCUACGCUAUAGGCUACGCUAUAGGCUACGCUAUAGGCUCCGCUAUAGGCAACGCUAUAGGCUACGCUAUAGGCUACGCUAUAGGCAACGCUAUAGGCUACGCUAUAGGCAACGCUAUAGGCUACGCUAUAGGCUACGCUAUAGGCAACGCUAUAGGCUACGCUAUAGGCAACGCUAUAGGCUCCGCUAUAGGCAACGCUAUAGGCUACGCUAUAGGCUCCACCUCAGUUAGCAGGGACAGAUGCCUGUGUUUGGUUCAGGUCUGGAUCAUCCCUGAUUUGGCACAAACAGAUGUUACAAAUAUUUAAUUCAUAGACUUUCUUUCAGAACUGAAAAUCAACCUGAUUUCAACUGGUGGUCGUUGGGAAAGGAGGACCAAAAUGCAGCAGGAUUGUGGAUGUUGACGUUUUAUUUACUCCAAAUAUGAACACCAAAAUAACAAACAACGAACUCACGAUCAACACAACAGUCUUGUAAGGCUCACUCACGCUAGACGAGAAACAGGCAAAACAAGAAACAAUCCCCCACAAAUGACAAACACCCCCUAAUAUAUAGGACUCUCAAUCAAAGGCAAAUAGACAACACCUGUCUUCAAUUGAGAGUCCCCACCCCAACUAACCAAACAUAGAACCAGACUCACCAGACCAAACAUAGAAAUACAUGAAUACAAAAACAGUGCCCAAAAACCCCCGGAAAUACACAAAUCAAAUGCCCCACUAAACAAACCACCACCCCGAACCACAUAAAACAAAUACCCAUCUGUCACGUCCUGACCAAACUACAAUAACAAUUAACCCCUUAUACUGGUCAGGACGUGACAUCAACAUCCGGAAAAGACUCCUUUUCAAUGUCCUGUAAAUUAUGUCUUCACUUUUCAUUCAGAGCCUAAACUUUAACGGCUGGAAGAUAUGUAUUUUCUGUCAUUUCAAUGUCAUUUGCUUCCUGGGACUAUUGUAGUUUUGCAGUGAGCACAUUUGGUUGCCAGUUUAGUCUCUCCUAGGUCGGCAGAACGGCCCUGAUUGGAUUGUAUGUAUUUCAUCCACUCCAGUUAUGGACACUGAACCAAAAUAUACAUGCUACAUGGAAUGUUUCGGUCCCAUGUUUCACGAGCUGAAAUAAAAUAUCCCAACUUUUAUCCAUUCGCACAAAAAAAACGGAUGUUUCUAAUUUUGUGCAGAAAUGUGUUUACAUCUCUGUUUGCGAGCAUUUCUCCUUUGCCAAGAUAAUCCAUCCAUCUGACAGGUGUGGCAUAUCAAGAAGCAUUAUCCUAACACAGGUGCACCUUGUGCUGGGGACAAUAAAAUGCCACUUUAAAAU
rnacentral:lncRNA from 1 species